CGUGUUCUCAUUCCUGAGGAUGAAAUCAAGAGAGGAAAGCCACGUCGUUCGAUAGUAUUGUUCUUUGAUCCUGACAGAGAAACACUGAUAACAUGCUUGGAUGGCUCCAACAAAUACCCGCCUGUUAUAUCGGACGUCUAUGUGAUGGAAUUACUGAAAAAAACUUACGAAUUCUAAGUCCUGACAGCUUGUUCAUCGUUGUUGUCAUUGCCGUCACGUUGUUACAAUCACUGUCGCUGCCAGUACCACGCGGGCCGCUUAGAGUGCUAUGUGACCUCAUUUUCAUGGUGACCAACGGAUAGUAUCUGUUGAAACUCGUGUAGAUACUUGCACCUCUCAUAACGGCAUCAGACUUUUUCUUAGUUCACGAGCAUUGUACAUUCGUACUUUUUUCUGUGUCAUUGAAAAUAUAUUCCGCUACAAUAUACAUUUAUUAAAACGAAAUUAAGCUGGGAUAAAUAAAUGAAAAGCAUGCAAUAAAUGUGAUUUUCAGUUGU